GUGGAUGUGGCUCAGUGGUAGAGCACUUGUGUAGUAUCCAUGAGGCCCUGGGUUCAGUUCCUAGCGUUACA
rnacentral:tRNA from 1 species